CGAGAAGGAGGCCAAUGCAAAGGUUUCCUUUUUGGAGUUGAAGCUUUGCAGUUCUGAUCAAAUCAUUCAUGAUUUGGACUACCAGAAGCGGUGCCUGGAGGAGAGUGCUGAGAGCCUCCGCAGUGAGAACCUGGACAUGAAGGUCGAUGUCGCCACCCUCAUGGGAGUGAUCCAGCGGGCUCAGCGAAUGCAACAGCUGGAUGUUUCUGGAGUUACCCUAAGGACAGUUUCUCUGGAGCAAAUUGCGGAGCCUUCAGUUUAUGACAAACACAC